GACGAACGCUGGCGGCGUGCCUAAUACAUGCAAGUCGAGCGAACGGACGAGAAGCUUGCUUCUCUGAUGUUAGCGGCGGACGGGUGAGUAACACGUGGAUAACCUACCUAUAAGACUGGGAUAACUACGGGAAACCGGAGCUAAUACCGUAUAAUAUUUUGAACCGCAUGGUGCAAAGGUGAAAGACGGUCUUGCGGUCACUUAUAGAGGGAUCCCCGCUGCAUUAGCGAGUAGGUAAGGUAACGGCUUAUGAAGGCAACGAUGCAUAGCCGACCUGAGAGGGUGAUCGGCCAGACUGGGACGGAGACAGGGUCCAGACUGCUACGGGAGGCAGCAGUAGGGACUCUUCCGGAAGGGGCGAAAGCGUGACGGAGAAACGCCGCGUGAGUGAUGAAGAUCGUCGGGUCGUAAAUCUCUGUUAUUAGGGAAGAACAUAUGUGUACGUAACUGUGCACAUGUUGACGGUAAGUAAGCAGAAAGGCACGGCUAACGACGUGC
rnacentral:rRNA from 1 species